rnacentral:ncRNA from 3 species
CCCCGUCCUAUAAUAUAAGGGAUUUUGAGUUUUUGCUUGCACUGUUUGACCACUCGUCUUAUUUAAAUUUUUUUUGGAAUUAUUAUUAUUUUUGACUUAUUUUAUUAUCCAAAGUACUUUAAGCAUAACUUUUCGUUUUUUAUAUUUGUACAAAUUUUUUGAAUAAAACGAGUGGUCAAACAAUACAAACAAAAACUUAAAAUCCCUUAUAUUAUGGGACGGAGG